CCUACGGGAGGCAGCAGUAAGGAAUAUUGGUCAAUGGACGCAAGUCUGAACCAGCCAUGCCGCGUGAAGGAUUAAGGUCCUCUGGAUUGUAAACUUCUUUUAUAUGGGACGAAAACAGAUCUUUCUAGGUCCUUUGACGGUACCAUAUGAAUAAGCACCGGCUAACUCCGUGCCAGCAGCCGCGGUAAUACGGAGGGUGCAAGCGUUAUCCGGAUUCACUGGGUUUAAAGGGUGCGUAGGCGGGUAGGUAAGUCAGUGGUGAAAUCCUGGAGCUCAACUCCAGAACUGCCAUUGAUACUAUCUAUCUUGAAUAUUGUGGAGGUAAGCGGAAUAUGUCAUGUAGCGGUGAAAUGCUUAGAUAUGACAUAGAACACCCAUUGCGAAGGCAGCUUACUACGCAUAUAUUGACGCUGAGGCACGAAAGCGUGGGGAUCAAACAGGAUUAGAUACCCUGGUAGUCCACGCCCUAAACGAUGGAUACUCGACAUACGCGAUACACAGUGUGUGUCUGAGCGAAAGCAUUAAGUAUCCCACCUGGGAAGUACGUUCGCAAGAAUGAAACUUAAAUGAAAUUGAGG
rnacentral:rRNA from 1 species